CAGCGAGGGAAGCCAGAGGAGCGGCCUCUCCUCGGGAUUAGCAGAGUCCCGGAUUGUCGUCCCGGGACGGACCGGGACACCGGACGCUUGGCGGGGAGGGGCCCGCCGCGGCCCACGUGGACACUGCCAGUGAGCGGUUAACACUAAUCCUGCUGCUGAUUACCGCUGGCAUCAGGGAAAUAAACAGCAAUACAUAAACCUACGAGGCGGAGCACACGUACAAAAAACUGGCUGAAUUGAGUCCUCGAAUUGUUGACUCUGAAGUGAAGCACCAACAGUCAGUUUCCUCCGUCACACCGUUUGAGCAACACCAUUCUUUGAUGCAUCCUGCUGUGGUUAGAGGCGUUGAUCCUCUUUUUGGGGUUCUUUAUAAGCAGGCAAGGCUCUGAAGCAUUGAGCAACAGGAGCCGCGCAUGAAAGCAAUACCUUUCACAGCGUUUUUUAAUACACACAUGUUGUGUAUCUAGAACAUCCCCACCUGCCGCCACCACCAACCGAACUCACAAUGCCCUCCAUCCGUCUUUCCCUCUUUAUCCUGGGUUUGGUUGUGGCUUGUGUCUCAGGUGAAAAAUCAAAUACCACUUCAAACCCCACAAAUUCAAACUCCAAAAUUUCAAACUCCGAAACUUCAAACUCCGAAACUUCAAAUGUAAAUGGCUCCACUACCGCCACUCAAACAUCCCUCAACGCCAUCACCACCACCGGAACCACCACCAAUGCCACCGAUGCCUCAAGCUACACACCGAGCAGCAGCGCCAUCUCGCCCUCGACAGCAACGCAGACCGGAUUCUCCAGUUCAAGUGGGGGAAGUGUCAAAACAACAAGCGCACCUAGAACCACGGACAAAAUGACAACAACUACCACCAAAGUACACAAAAAGGAGACAACCACCACUGCUAAGCCAGCUGAGACGGCGUCAGUGGACACCACCGGCAUUAUCAUCCUAGUUGUGAUCGGCGUCGUAAUCCUUGGAUUUGGAGUUUGCUGCUACUUACAGCGGAAUAGAAGAAGGCGGUACUCUGUGGACUUCACCUCCAGACCGGAUGAAGCCAACAUCCCUCUCAGCACCAUGGAGCCCGAGUUACAGGUCGAUGCCGCGCCUCAGAACGGACUGCAAACCUUUGAAAGGGAAGAAGCUAAGACAGAGAUGCGAGAACCAGAGGCCAAGCCUGAAGCAAAGGAGGAGCAGAAAGGUGAGGCUGAGGAAUCUCACGUUGGUCCCGGGGCUGAGUCUGCUGCCCCGGCGGCGACCCCAGAGAGCCCCGCGGACGAACCCAAAGCGGCCGCCGUUGAGCAGAGUCCCCCCGCGCCCGUGGAGCCAAGUGUGGACGAGAAAACCGACGAAGAAGGCGACGUCUCCAACAAGACCUCUGUGGAGUCGCUGAAAGAGACCAACGAGAACAACAGCAAUAAUGCCGACUUCAAUGCGACUGGAGAUGUGAUCAGCAUCAACUUCUGGGACGUUCCUCUCAAUAGUCCGCUGUGAGACAUUUCACCUAUCUGUGCUGUUCUUCAGGAACUUGAUUGAAGGAGUGACCACGACGGAGAAGGGCACGUCUGCUCGUACCGUGUGAGAUAUUUAGCGGGCUGUUUUCUCCUUGUUAGAAACAAAUUUACUGCAGCAGAGCAGCUUUUUCCCAGUUAAACGUUAGCUGAACUCUGAGUUUUAAGCAUUUUAGUGAUUUAACGGUGACUAUUUAGUUGGUCUAUAUACUAAAUGUGAUUACGUUUGGUACUGCAGAACAGUAAUACACGUUGAAUUUCAUCUCCCAAGCCAUUCAGCUUUUAUAAACUUAUAUAAACAUAUUAUACGUGGUUUCUAACACACUGAGAUGUAGUUUUAAGCAGCCAUAAUUUACUCUUUUUGUGGAAAUAUAUUAAUAGAGUAAAAUACAUUUGUAUUAAUAUACUUUACAUUAAUCAAACCUAACUGAUAUUCUUUCAUCACAUAACGAUAAACACAUUUGUAAAUAAUGAUGUAUAAAUAAGCAAGACGUUAUAAGAUUGUCAGAUUUAAAUCAGUGUUCUUUCUUAAAUUUAUGAUGUAAUGGUAUUUUGUAACUCAUGCAUUUUGAUUUUUUCAUGUGUUUCCCAUUCAGUAGUGUGAAGGUUUAUGCUAAAAAUUGCAAUGAAUGAUGAAAAGUAUUGUAAUUUGUCUUGAAUGUUUUUUGCAAUGAAUUUCCUUUACAGUUCAUAGGCGCCAUCUUGGCUAAUCUUAACCGACCACAUUACGUAAUGAAAAAAGUGACACAAACCAGCAGGUUGUUAACUGUAAAACAAAAUGAACAAACUAAAGAUGGGUCAAUGUUUCUUUUUACCAGAAAUCAUUUUGCUUAUAAAAUAAAAUAACUUGAUCAACAUUAUAUUCAUCAUGUAACCUUCAAUCCACAAUUGUUAUUCACAUUUCUGAUUAACAUCAAUAAACUGUAUACUCGCACAUCUUUGGCCUCUAAAAAUAAUCACCAUACAGUUUUUUCUGCUCACUUUCACCAGCUGUUCUUUUAGAUAUAAAAAUUGUAUCUGGUAGUAGACGUGUACAGUCAUUAUUGCUAAAUAAACCUUCAACAGAUGGAGGUUGAAUCUUAUUUUUGUUUUGUUUUAUGCAUUUUAUUUUUUGCUUUAUUUACUGUGUUUCAGAAAAAUGAUCUUACAAUACAGCACAAUUAUUUGGUGUGUGUCCAAUUAAAUAUGGAUCUAGACUCUUGUUUAAUUUCCUGAGCCAAAUAAUAUUUUUAUAAUUUCCAUUUACAGUAAUGUGUUGCCCAGUGUUUGGGUCUGAUCCAGCUUCUAUAUCCAGCCUAUUUCCACAGGCUUCCGCUCUCCUUUACAGACAAGUGAUGCUUUAAUCCAC
ensembl:lncRNA